rnacentral:rRNA from 1 species
CAGUGCUUGCACUGGUACUCGAGUGGCGAACGGGUGAGUAACACGUGGGUGAUCUGCCCUGCACUUCGGGAUAAGCCUGGGAAACUGGGUCUAAUACCGGAUAGGACCACAUUUUGGAUGGUGUGGUGGAAAGUUUUUCGGUGUGGGAUGAGCUCGCGGCCUAUCAGCUUGUUGGUGGGGUAAUGGCCUACCAAGGCGUCGACGGGUAGCCGGCCUGAGAGGGUGUACGGCCACAUUGGGACUGAGAUACGGCCCAGACUCCUACGGGAGGCAGCAGUGGGGAAUAUUGCACAAUGGGCGCAAGCCUGAUGCAGCGACGCCGCGUGGGGGAUGACGGCCUUCGGGUUGUAAACUCCUUUCGCUAGGGACGAAGCGCAAGUGACGGUACCUGGAGAAGAAGCACCGGCUAACUACGUGCCAGCAGCCGCGGUAAUACGUAGGGUGCGAGCGUUGUCCGGAAUUACUGGGCGUAAAGAGCUCGUAGGUGGUUUGUCGCGUCGUUUGUGUAAGCCCGCAGCUUAACUGCGGGACUGCAGGCGAUACGGGCAUAACUUGAGUGCUGUAGGGGAGACUGGAAUUCCUGGUGUAGCGGUGGAAUGCGCAGAUAUCAGGAGGAACACCGAUGGCGAAGGCGGGUCUCUGGGCAGUAACUGACGCUGAGGAGCGA